rnacentral:rRNA from 1 species
CGUACGGGAGGCAGCAGUGGGGAAUUUUCCGCAAUGGGCGAAAGCCUGACGGAGCAAUACCGCGUGAGGGAAGACUGCCUAUGGGUUGUAAACAUCAUUCUUCAGGGAGGAAUAAAUGACGUGUACCUGAAGAAUAACCGUCGGCUAAUCCGUGCCAGCGGCCGCGGUAAU